AAACUGGUCAAUCAUCCGAAGCUACCGAAGGGGGAUAGUAUAAGUUUUUUGCUCACCUAAUAUGUUUGGCCUUUUAUGUGUUUGGUCAAUCAGACGGUAAUGGAAGACAGAGUAGAGACGAUGGUUACAUAGACGACCAAAUAUCACCAGCUGCAGUAACUCACGGUCGCCGCAGAACGUUGGUUCUCCAUUGCCGUAUAUGGCCGCUGAUUAGCGCAUAAUCGCAAUGGACGCCACCGCCAGAGGCCGUCAUGGAUAGCCACAACCUUCGUUCUCAUGUUAUAAUCAAUAUACAUAGCAUCGCAGCCUAGAGGUGGUCCAAUAUCGGUUGCUGAGUUCAUGGAGGAAUACCUGAUAAAUCCGAAGGCUGGUUUCUUAUAUCCAUGGCGUGCAAAAGGUGGCUUUAUAACCUCUCCUGAAGUUCUUGAAUUUCUUGAGUUGUGUAGAUGUCUUUAUGAGGAGUACUUGGUCGUUUAUGAUGUGAAAGCGGAAAUGGGUGAGAUGAGGAAGUUUGCUGGUCGGCCCUCUUCUUUUUAGUAUUGAAGUACUUAUAAGAUAUUACAAGUGGCAAUUUUGAACCUUUUACUUAUGACUACACUAAGCAAAUGAUAUUUCGUGCAACUUAAGGAUCAAUGGAAUGGCAUCU